rnacentral:rRNA from 1 species
UAGGGAAUCUUCCGCAAUGGACGAAAGUCUGACGGAGCAACGCCGCGUGAGUGAUGAAGGCUUUCGGGUCGUAAAACUCUGUUGUUAGGGAAGAACAAGUGCUAGUUGAAUAAGCUGGCACCUUGACGGUACCUAACCAGAAAGCCACGGCUAACUACGUGCCAGCAGCCGCGGUAAUACGUAGGUGGCAAGCGUUAUCCGGAAUUAUUGGGCGUAAAGCGCGCGCAGGUGGUUUCUUAA